rnacentral:rRNA from 1 species
CACGUAGGGGGCAAGCGUUAUCCGGAUUUACUGGGUGUAAAGGGAGCGUAGACGGCAAUACAAGUCGGAAGUGAAAUACCCGGGCUUAACCUGGGAACUGCUUUGGAAACUGUAUGGCUGGAGUGCUGGAGAGGUAAGCGGAAUUCCUAGUGUAGCGGUGAAAUGCGUAGAUAUUAGGAGGAACACCAGUGGCGAAGGCGGCUUACUGGACAGUAACUGACGUUGAGGCUCGAAAGCGUGGGGAGCAAACAGG